UCAUCAACAGUUCAGCGAUGUCUUUGAAAAU
rnacentral:piRNA from 1 species